UUUUAUAAGAAUAUGAUGUUGGUUCAGAUUAAGCGCUAAAUAAGGACAUGACACAUGCGAAUCAUACGUUUAUUAUUGAUAAGAUAAUAAAUAUGUGGUGUAAACGUGAGUAAUUUUAUUAGGAAUUAAUGAACUAUAGAAUAAGCUAAAUACUUAAUAUAUUAUUAUAUAAAAAUAAUUUAUAUAAUAAAAAGGAUAUAUAUAUAAUAUAUAUUUAUCUAUAGUCAAGCCAAUAAUGGUUUAGGUAGUAGGUUUAUUAAGAGUUAAACCUAGCCAACGAUCCAUAAUCGAUAAUGAAAGUUAGAACGAUCACGUUGACUCUGAAAUAUAGUCAAUAUCUAUAAGAUACAGCAGUGAGGAAUAUUGGACAAUGAUCGAAAGAUUGAUCCAGUUACUUAUUAGGAUGAUAUAUAAAAAUAUUUUUAUUUUAUUUAUAAAUAUUAAAUAUUUAUAAUAAUAAUAAUAUAUAUAUAUAUAAAUUGAUUAAAAAUAAAAUCCAUAAAUAAUUAAAAUAAUGAUAUUAAUUACCAUAUAUAUUUUUAUAUGGAUAUAUAUAUUAAUAAUAAAAUUAAUUUAUUAUUAUUAAUAAUAUAUUUUAAUAGUCCUGACUAAUAUUUGUGCCAGCAGUCGCGGUAACACAAAGAGGGCGAGCGUUAAUCAUAAUGGUUUAAAGGAUCCGUAGAAUGAAUUAUAUAUUAUAAUUUAGAGUUAAUAAAUAUAAUUAAAGAAUUAUAAUAGUAAAGAUGAAAUAAUAAUAAUAAUUAUAAGACUAAUAUAUGUGAAAAUAUUAAUUAAAUAUUAACUGACAUUGAGGGAUUAAAACUAGAGUAGCGAAACGGAUUCGAUACCCGUGUAGUUCUAGUAGUAAACUAUGAAUACAAUUAUUUAUAAUAUAUAUUAUAUAUAAAUAAUAAAUGAAAAUGAAAGUAUUCCACCUGAAGAGUACGUUAGCAAUAAUGAAACUCAAAACAAUAGACGGUUACAGACUUAAGCAGUGGAGCAUGUUAUUUAAUUCGAUAAUCCACGACUAACCUUACCAUAUUUUGAAUAUUAUAAUAAUUAUUAUAAUUAUUAUAUUACAGGCGUUACAUUGUUGUCUUUAGUUCGUGCUGCAAAGUUUUAGAUUAAGUUCAUAAACGAACAAAACUCCAUAUAUAUAAUUUUAAUUAUAUAUAAUUUUAUAUUAUUUAUUAAUAUAAAGAAAGGAAUUAAGACAAAUCAUAAUGAUCCUUAUAAUAUGGGUAAUAGACGUGCUAUAAUAAAAUGAUAAUAAAAUUAUAUAAAAUAUAUUUAAUUAUAUUUAAUUAAUAAUAUAAAACAUUUUAAUUUUUAAUAUAUUUUUUUAUUAUAUAUUAAUAUGAAUUAUAAUCUGAAAUUCGAUUAUAUGAAAAAAGAAUUGCUAGUAAUACGUAAAUUAGUAUGUUACGGUGAAUAUUCUAACUGUUUCGCACUAAUCACUCAUCACGCGUUGAAACAUAUUAUUAUCUUAUUAUUUAUAUAAUAUUUUUUAAUAAAUAUUAAUAAUUAUUAAUUUAUAUUUAUUUAUAUCAGAAAUAAUAUGAAUUAAUGCGAAGUUGAAAUACAGUUACCGUAGGGGAACCUGCGGUGGGCUUAUAAAUAUC
rnacentral:ncRNA from 1 species